GGUGAAUUCGGGGUUCUCCUGCUCCACCAUCUUUGCUUUCCUGUAAAAUUUCUUCUAAAAAAUUAUAUUACUCAGUUUUUCCACAAUGGACAGUUAAACAAAGUUUAAUAUAUCUUUUACACAUUUCAACAAGUAGCUUGUUCUAAUUUAUGAAUGAAAACUGUAGUAGGCCAUAAAAUAUUAACAUAAGGCAAAUAUGUGAAAAUUAUUUCAGAGCUUGUUUUUCAUAGAUCUGGACCUACUGGUACAAGAAUAGAACCUGCAUUAGAUGACUGACUGCAAACUUCUCCGUAAGUUGGCCUCCAGUAAUAAUGCUUUUUAAGGCCAUUGGAGACUUCUGCGAGAUACACAUGUCCAUCCACCACAAAUGGCUCCACAUCUGUAUUGUCUGGUUUUAGACGGCCUGUUUGAAUUAAGUCUGAAUAUGCCUGUGAUUUUUAAGAAAAGAACAAACUAUCAUUAAUAAAAUAGGUUGUUCAUUUAUUGUAAUUAAAUUUCUAUAUUCAAAUUAGCUGUACUGAUUUUCAGUUUAAAAUAUUUUGAGUAAAUUACUGAAUUUUAUUACUUUCCACAUAUAGAUUUUUGUUCACUUAAUUUCACAAUGAAAUUAGAAUCUUGCAAAAUUUAUUUCUAAGCUUUAAGGUAUUUUUUUGUCAUUUUAUGACUUCCAGAGUUAACAAUUCUCACUGUUACUGAUUUUAUGGGCCAAAAGGUCCCAUGGUUAAAAUUCCUACAGGGGAUCUUAAAUGAGGGACAUAAGGAGUUGUAUAUGCCCUUGAAAAUUUGAUGGCCAGGGACCCAUUUCUCAGAAAAAUAAUCAGAUUUUGGCAUCCAACUCUCUGGAGUUCAUAAACUCCCUGAAGCUCAUUUAUAGUCUGAGGCUAAGAGACCAUUUCCAUAUUAUUAGAUGGUGGCCUGACUGGUAGCCCCAUUCUUUUUUCAUUGUAGAAUUUUCUUUGUUUACCUCAUGGAUCAUUGGUAUGUAUGUAAGAUCACACAAACAUGUUAAGCUGGCUUGUGAGUAAGAUUGUGUACAGAGAUAGGCAGAAAUGUAGACAGUAAAAGAAAACUUCAGUUGCUUUCUGCUUUAUUCCAAGCUCACCUUAGUUUCUAGUGUGUAGAAUAUGUUUUUCUAAAAUCAAGAUUUAAAUAGUAUGUUUUAUUACUCGUUUUGGUGGUAGUUUUGGAUAGCCUUUUUGCAAAUUGAGAUUUUUAGCAUCUUCUUUCCAAAUCAAAAUUAUUUGUUACUAUGGUUUUUGUUUUGAAAGUAGUAUCAAGGGCUGUAUUUGCAUAAGCAGCAGUUAAAAGUACUGUAGGUCUCCAAAACCAUGUCUUGGUUUAAUUAUUGGGCAGCAGAUUAGAGAUUGUGCUGCAUCAAAUUUAGAAUAAAUCAACAAUUGUGAUUUUUAAAAUGUUUUAACUUUGGAGGAGUUGGGACUGUGUCAUUCAUUGAUCUUUAUACUAAUAUGUAGUAUUUGAGAUAUUUUGCUAUUUCAACCACAGAACUUUCCAGUCAUUUUUAGGGUUUAUUUUUAAAUGUAUCAGAACUGCAGUGUCUUACUAUAUUUUGUAGUCAUUCUUUUAAUAUUUAUUUUUGAGAGAGAGAGAGAGAGAGAGAGACCAAGCAAGUGAGCAGGGGAAGGAGAGAGAGAGAGGGAGAGAGAAAAUCCCAAGCAGGCUCAACUCUGGCAGUGCAGAGCCUGACCCAGGGCUCCAACUCAGCAAACAUGAGAUCAUGACCUGAGCUGAAAUCAAGAGUCAGACGCUUAACCCACUGAGCCACCCAGGUGCCCCAAUAUGUUAUAAUCAUUUCUAAGGCCACCUGUAAAUGUCUGAUGUUAUAGAGAAGACCCCAGAAAAAGCCUUCAGUGAAGAAGAAAGAAAAAAAAAAAACCCAAAACAUACCACACAUGUAGCUUCAUCAAAUUUGUUUCCCCAAAUGUAGACAUUAGAGAGUAUGGGGUUUGUUUUCAUGGACUGUGAAAGUGCAACAAGUCCUUCUCCCUUUAUGUUGUUGUUGACUACUGACAACCUAGGGAGAAACAAGAGGUAAUAACCCUGGAAACCAGUAAAUACUUUCACAAAGAAGAUGCAUAAGUUAG